rnacentral:rRNA from 1 species
GACGAACGCUGGCGGCGUGCUUAACACAUGCAAGUCGAACGGAAAGGCCCUGCUUUUGUGGGGUGCUCGAGUGGCGAACGGGUGAGUAACACGUGAGUAACCUGCCCUUGACUUUGGGAUAACUUCAGGAAACUGGGGCUAAUACCGGAUAGGAGCUCCUGCUGCAUGGUGGGGGUUGGAAAGUUUCGGCGGUUGGGGAUGGACUCGCGGCUUAUCAGCUUGUUGGUUGGGUAGUGGCUUACCAAGGCCUUGACGGGUAGCCGGCCUGAGAGGGUGACCGGCCACAUUGGGACUGAGAUACGGCCCAGACUCCUACGGGAGGCAGCAGUGGGGAAUAUUGCACAAUGGGCGGAAGCCUGAUGCAGCAACGCCGCGUGCGGGAUGACGGCCUUCGGGUUGUAAACCGCUUUCGCCUGUGACGAAGCGUGAGUGACGGUAAUGGGUAAAGAAGCACCGGCUAACUACGUG